UUGGCUCCUAGCAGCAGCAUCCCGUUUACUCCAAAGAAGACAGAAGACAGAUGGACACAGAAUAAUGUCUAUCCACAAUUUGCUUAAUCAAGUGAAAGUGCUAAUCACUGGAAAAAAACUGCCUUUCAUCUAAACUCCUGAAGAUCUCCAGAUGUGGACGAAGGAAAAUUGGAAUCGAUUGUCUUACUGCUCAGGACAAGGGUCUCACUAUGUAUUCCUGGAUGAUCUGAAUCUACAUUAUAGAACAGACUGGCUUCAAACUCACAGAGGGUAUUACAGUUAAGCAAUUACCAUGCCUCUCAGAAGAAAUUUUGGAUUUUGGAGUUUUAUAGACUAUAGGUGACUUUUAAAGGUGGACUUAAUGAAUUUCUUCAUUAUGAUCUGGCUAUGAGCUUAAUGGGGCAGGAAGUGGAAAGUGGUUGUUUGGGAAAAUGAGCUCACAUGAGCAGACAAGAAGUGAUUCUUUUAGGAGGUGUGGCUUUGCUGGAGUAAGUGUGGCUUUGUUGGAAGAAUGUAUCCCUGGGUGUAGUGGUCUGGAUAUGAAUUACUGAAUACUUAGCCUGUGGUGAGUGGCACUAUUGGGGUAUUCUUGCCUUGCUGAAGGAAGUGUGUCACUGUGGGGGGCAGGUUUUGAAGUCUCAUAUGCUUGUUAUUCCAAGUAUGAGAGACAGUUCACUUCCUGUUGCCUACAGAUCAAGAUGUAGAACUCUCAAGUCAUUUUCUAGCACGGUGUCUACCUUCACGCUGCCAUGUUUCUCACCAUGAUGAUAAUGAACCCCUGAAAUUGUAAGUCAGC